rnacentral:tRNA from 1 species
GCCGGCUUAGCUCAAUUGGCAGAGCAACUGACUUGUAAUCAGUAGGUUGAGGGUUCAAGUCCUUUAGCCGGCACCA